rnacentral:rRNA from 1 species
GAUGAACGCUGGCGGCGUGCCUAAUACAUGCAAGUCGAGCGAACAGACGAGGAGCUUGCUCCUCUGACGUUAGCGGCGGACGGGUGAGUAACACGUGGAUAACCUACCUAUAAGACUGGGAUAACUUCGGGAAACCGGAGCUAAUACCGGAUAAUAUAUUGAACCGCAUGGUUCAAUAGUGAAAGACGGUUUUGCUGUCACUUAUAGAUGGAUCCGCGCCGCAUUAGCUAGUUGGUAAGGUAACGGCUUACCAAGGCAACGAUGCGUAGCCGACCUGAGAGGGGGACCGGCCCCACUGGAACUGAGACACGGUCCAGACUCCUACGGGAGGCAGCAGUAGGGAAUCUUCCGCAAUGGGCGAAAGCCUGACGGAGCAACGCCGCGUGAGUGAUGAAGGUCUUCGGAUCGUAAAACUCUGUUAUUAGGGAAGAACAAAUGUGUAAGUAACUAUGCACGUCUUGACGGUACCUAAUCAGAAAGCCACGGCUAACUACGUG